rnacentral:tRNA from 1 species
CCGACCUUAGCUCAGUUGGUAGAGCGGAGGACUGUAUUCACUGGUUCGAAUCCGGUAGGUCGGA